rnacentral:rRNA from 1 species
UACGGGGGGGGCAAGCGUUGUUCGGAAUUACUGGGCGUAAAGGGCUCGUAGGUGGCCAACUAAGUCAGACGUGAAAUCCCUCGGCUUAACCGGGGAACUGCGUCUGAUACUGGAUGGCUUGAGUUUGGGAGAGGGACGCGGAAUUCCAGGUGUAGCGGUGAAAUGCGUAGAUAUCUGGAGGAAUACCGGUGGCGAAGGCGCAUCCUGGACCGGCAUUGACGCUGAGGAGCGAAAGCCAGGGGAGCAAAGCGGG